GAUUGAACGCUGGCGGCAUGCUUUACACAUGCAAGUCGAACGGGCAGCACGGGGGCGAACCCUGGUGGCGAGUGGCGAACGGGUGAGUAACACAUCGGAACGUGCCCAGUUGUGGGGGAUAACCUAUCGAAAGGUAGGCUAAUACCGCAUGAGCUCGGCAAGAGGAAAGCGGGGACUCAGCGAUGGGCCUCGCGCGACUGG
rnacentral:rRNA from 1 species